CCUACGGGUGGCAGCAGUGGGGGAUAUUGCACAAUGGGCGAAACCCUGAUGCAGCGACGCCGCGUGGGCGAUGAAGUCCUUACGUAUGUAAAGCUCUAUCAGCCGGGAAGAAGAAAUGACGGUACCUGAGUAAGAAGCACCGGCUAAAUACGUAACAGCAGCCGGCGUAAUACGUAUGGUGCAAGCGUUGUCCGGAUUUACUGGGUGUAAAGGGAUCGCAGGUGUCAAGGCAAGUCUGGUGUGAAAGCCUGCGGCCCAACCGCGGUACUGCAUUUGAAACUACCGGGGUUGAGUGUCGGAGAGGUAGGCGGAAUUCCUGGUGUAGCGGUGAAAUGCGUAGAUAUCAGGAGGAACACCAGUGGCGAAGGCGGCCUACUGGACGGUGACUGACGCUGAGGCUCGAAAGCGUGGGGAGCAAACAGGAUUAGAUACCCCGGUAGUC
rnacentral:rRNA from 1 species